rnacentral:lncRNA from 1 species
CACAAUCCAAACCCUCAGUUCAGGAAAAAACAUAAGUUGGGUCAUUGGAUAAAGUUGUACAAAAAGAAAAAGACUCCCUCGAGCCAAUAUACAGCAUUGAUUCCAUUAGUGAUAGUGAAAGUCAUCCUACACAAUAACCCUCCUCUCUCAUCUCCCUCACAGGAACCAAGUUUUUCAAAGAUGUAUUCCAAAAAUUCUAUGCUUGUUCAUACUUCGACAUUGCAAAG